ACCUGGUUGAUCCUGCCAGUAGUCAUAUGCUUGUCUCAAAGCUUAAGCCAUGCAAGUGUAAGUUCACGCCACGCUUUAGAACGGGCGAAACCGCGAAUGGCUCAGGAACCGGACCUAAUCCUCGGGACCGUAAUCCUCCUCGGAGGCGAUGGAUAACUGUGGCAAUUCUAGAGCUAAUACAUGUGACACAGGCCGCGAUCGGCCGUCGCGCCGUGGUCGCCUCGCCUCGCGCGCUGGCACCCGCGGCGGCCGUCUUGGGUCGCGGCGCUACAUAUUAGACUGAGACCGAUGCGCGAUUCCCGCUCUCCCUUCGYGGUCUCCGGUUUCGGCCGGUCUCYGCGUCGGGGCCAAAGGGCGGCGCGCUCCGCUUUGGUGACUCUGGAUAACUCACUGGUCGAUCGCACGGGCUUCCACGCCCGGCGACGGGUCCCUCGAGGGUCCGCCCUAUCAACUGUCGACGGUCGGUUAAGUGCCUACCGUGGUUACUACGGGUAACGGGGAAUCGGGGUUCGAUUCCGGAGAGGGAGCAUGCGAAACGGCUACCACAUCCAAGGAAGGCAGCAGGCGCGCAAAUUACCCACUCCCGGCACGGGGAGGUAGUGACGAAAAAUAACGACGCGGGACUCUGUCGAGGCCCCGCGAUCGGAAUGAGUACACUUCAAAUCCGUUAACGAGGACCAACCGGAGGGCAAGUCUGGUGCCAGCAGCCGCGGUAAUUCCAGCUCCGGUAGCGUAUAUUAAAGUUGUUGCGGUUAAAAAGCUCGUAGUCCGAACUCGGGUUCGUGGUCGCUCGCGCGGCCCCGGGGCGGCGGCGCCAUCGUCCAUCGUUGACUUUGGUCGUCCGUUCGCAUUCCCGGCCCUUUCCGCCGGUGUCGAUCGCUGCAUGACGGUCUCGCGUGGCAGCCUGGCGUGGGGAGCGUGGCGUCGGGCGUUUCGGCGUCCUUCUUCGUCCGGGCUUUCGGGUCCCUYCUCUGCCUAGCCAUGCGCGCGUGUGCCGUCGGCGAUCUCUCCUCCAAGGGUGCUCUUAACCGAGUGUCCGCGGCGGCCGGUACGUUCACUUUGAAAAAAUUAGAGUGCUCAGAGCGGGCUGUUCAAGCUUGCAUACGAUAAGCAUGGAAUGAUGGAAGAGGGCCUCGUCUACGUCUGUCGGUCUCCGUCUACGGCGAGGCAAUGAUCGAAGGGAGCGGUCGGGGCCACUCGUAUUGCGACGUUAGAGGUGAAAUUCUUGGAUCGUCGCAAGACGAACUGCAGCGAUGGCGUGUGGCAAGCACGUUUUCCUCGAUCAAGAGCGAAAGUCGGAGGUUCGAAGACGAUCAGAUACCGUCGUAGUUCCGACCGUAAACGAUGCCGACCGGCGAUCCGCCGGCGUUCGCUUCCAUGACCCGGCGGGUAGCCUGCGGGAAACCAGAGUUCGGUUCCGGGGGGAGUAUGGUUGCAAAGCUGAAACUUAAAGGAAUUGACGGAAGGGCACCACCAGGAGUGGAGCCUGCGGCUUAAUUUGACUCAACACGGGAAAACUCACCCGGUCCGGACACCGGUAGGAUUGACAGAUCGAUAGCUCUUUCUCGAUUCGGUGGGUGGUGGUGCAUGGCCGUUCUUAGUUGGUGGAGCGAUCCGUCUGGUUGAUUCCGAUAACGAACGAGACUCCGGCCUGCUAACUAGUGCGCCGAUGUGAGUGCGGCGUCCUCGCGGCGUCGUGUGCGGGCUCUCCGUGGGCCGGCUGUCCUUAACCGGCGGUCGCGCCUUCGGGUCCGGGUCGGUUUCUCACGCACUUCUUAGAGGGACGGGUGGCAGAAAGCCACACGAGGCGGAGCGAUAACAGGUCUGUGAUGCCCUUAGAUGUCCGGGGCCGCACGCGCGCUACACUGGAGGUAUCAGCGGGGACUUCGCCCCGGCCCGAGAGGGUCGGGAAACCUCUCAACCACCUCCCGUGAUAGGGAUCGGGGCCUGUAACUAACCCCGUGAACGAGGAAUUCCCGGUAGGCGCGGGUCAACAGCCCGCGUCGAUCACGUCCCUGCCCUUUGUACACACCGCCCGUCGCUACUACCGAUCGAACGGUCCGGUGAGGUCCUCGGAUCUGGCCGACGACGCCGUCGGGUUUUAUCGGCUCCUCGCGGGUCGGUUUGCCUCGGCGUUCGAUGCCUGGAGAAGACGACCGAACCCGAUCGUUUAGAGGAAGUAAAAGUCGUAACAAGGUUUCCGUAGGUGAACCUGCGGAAGGAUCAUUA
rnacentral:rRNA from 1 species